AGACUACACGGUCGAGAGGUGGUCGCCACUUGACUCCUAGCUGAACUCUCCUCUCCCACACCGUGGCACCCUGCUCAUCCUUCCUUCCCACAACCAUUCUAUCACUCCAGCAUCCAUUACCCUCCUCUCAUCAUAAUGCUCUCCCCAUUUAACCCAUCCUCGAUGCUCCUCAUUGCCGGGUCUGGAGAUCCAACCCUCCUCCCCUGCUGCUAAACGCCUGCCUCCCACGUUUCUCAAUUCGGCAUCUGCUCCCUUCCUCUCCGCUGCUGCCUUCUUUUAUGUUCUAACACUGUACGUCUUUCAAUAGACAUAAAUAAAAAGAAUCAUGCUCUUUGUGCGGACUCUUGUUGACUUUUUUUGCUCAUGUCUGUUGAGAGCGAGAGAAGUCGAGGAGGUGGGGGCCGGGGAAUUUGGUGGCGCCAUCGGUGGCGAGGGAGGGGAAAGGGAAAGGAGGGAGUUGACGGUAGGAAAAUGGGUGAAGGUUUUGCUGGACCACUCCCGCCUCCUCUUCUCCUCCUCUCUUCUCGUCUCGACCCAAUCCAAUCUCCGGCGUUCGUUCUUGGCGUCGCCCUCCAGUUUCUGCCCCACGAUCUCCUUUUCUAAUUGCUGCUCCACUUUUCCCACCACCGUCCCUUCCCAACUCCCAGACGAAGCCACCAAAGAUGUCAUAUUACUGCUUGGAAUAGAUCAAAAAGCAAGUGUGAUCACCUCAUCAACCUUGGCAGAAACCAGAACUGUUUGAAGAGAUUUCCUUGCUUCACCUACAGGUAUCGAUUGUCACCAGCAGAAGUUGCAUCCUCUUUCAAUGUGACUUUUGUGAUGCUUGCUGACCCUGCAAGGGCAAUAUGUGAUGCAUCUUUUUAUGAAACAGUGGCACCAUUCUUAGACAUCAUGGGGAAGUCAAGAUUCUAUCUUGGGGAGGUUGGAAAUGGUGCAGCUCUGAAACUAGUUUUCAACAUGAUCAUGGGAAGAAGGUUUGCUUCACCGCGAGAAAGUUGGACUGGACCCCAAUAUUCUUGCCGAGGGAGGUUGAAAUCGAGUGCAGAAAAUUGCGCAUCAUUUUUCAGUCUGUUUUCCAAAUUCCUUACCUAGCAGGAUUUUGUAUGAAGUUCGUAUACUGCUGGUGAAGUCACAAAGUCCUAUUAGUGAACCCAUGCAUUCGGCGGUCAAGGGACCUUCUUAAUGGUUAUAGCUUCCUGUCCAACUGCAUUUCUUCUGAAGCAUCAGCAGAAGGCUUACAAUCUUUUUAGAUGUCUAGAAGUGAAGGAAAACAUGCAGUAGACAUGAUUCUAGAUGGCAUCCGAAAGCAUGCUUUUUGUGGAAGGACUUUAAGGCUUGCUCUGGGCUUACCCAAAUCUGCUUCUCCACCAAUUCCAAUUGCAGCAGCUGCUAAUAAUUUGUAUGAAGUAGCCAAUUCUCAUGGCCUUCAUGUUCAGGACUUCUUGGCAGUUCACAGGCACUUAGAGGGAAAUUGUAACGUGCAGAACAGUGGAAAUACUUGCGACAUCCUUUGAGCUCGAUUCAUGAUAUUGCAGGUUUACUAUGAUGGUAUUCGAACAACUCUGCCAAGGAAGUUUUAGCUGGUUUGCAUUCUGGUUUCUUGAUCUCUUGUAAGUUAUACUAGCUCAGAUUGUCUUCGCUUCAUAGUAAGGGAAUAGUGUGGCACUUGUCAAAGCUACAGCACAGAACGAUAUAAGUCAGUUUUGACGAUACUUCAGGCCUUUUGGUUGCCUUUAUUUACAUUCCACCAAAUCUGAAUUCUCCAGGGCUAUUAUUAAGA